rnacentral:rRNA from 1 species
AGAGUUUGAUCCUGGCUCAGAACGAACGCUGGCGGCAGGCCUAACACAUGCAAGUCGAACGCAUCGCAAGAUGAGUGGCGCACGGGUGAGUAACACGUGGGAAUGUGCCCUUUGGUUCGGAAUAACGUCUGGAAACGGACGCUAAUACCGGAUGUCCCCUGCGGGGGAAAGAUUUAUCGCCAAAGGAGCAGCCCGCGUCUGAUUAGGUAGUUGGUGGGGUAAUGGCCUACCAAGCCGACGAUCAGUAGCUGGUCUGAGAGGAUGAUCAGCCACACUGGGACUGAGACACGGCCCAGACUCCUACGGGAGGCAGCAGUGGGGAAUAUUGGACAAUGGGCGCAAGCCUGAUCCAGCCAUGCCGCGUGAGUGAUGAAGGCCUUCGGGUUGUAAAGCUCUUUCGCACGUGACGAUGAUGACGGUAACGUGAGAAGAAGCCCCGGCUAACUUCGUG